GAUGAACGCUGGCGGCGUGCUUAACACAUGCAAGUCGAACGGGAAACCUUUUAUUGAAGCUUCGGCAGAUUUAGCUGGUUUCUAGUGGCGGACGGGUGAGUAACGCGUGGGUAACCUGCCUUAUACAGGGGGAUAACAACCAGAAAUGGUUGCUAAAACCGCAUAAGCGCACAGGACCGCAUGGUCCGGUGUGAAAAACUCCGGUGGUAUAAGAUGGACCCGCGUUGGAUUAGCUAGUUGGCAGGGUAACGGCCUACCAAGGCGACGAUCCAUAGCCGGCCUGAGAGGGUGAACGGCCACAUUGGGACUGAGACACGGCCCAGACUCCUACGGGAGGCAGCAGUGGGGAAUAUUGCACAAUGGGGGAAACCCUGAUGCAGCGACGCCGCGUGAAGGAAGAAGUAUCUCGGUAUGUAAACUUCUAUCAGCAGGGAAGAUAGUGACGGUACCUGACUAAGAAGCCCCGGCUAACUACGUG
rnacentral:rRNA from 1 species